rnacentral:rRNA from 1 species
CUGGCUCAGAACGAACGCUGGCGGCGCGUCUUAAGCAUGCAAGUCGAACGGCAAGAGGUAGCAAUACCUCCUAGAGUGGCGGACUGGUGAGUAACACGUGGGUGACAUACCCUUCAGAUGGGGAUAGCUAUUAGAAAUAGUAGAUAAUACCGAAUACGAGCACAGGGGUUAGAGAUCUGUGAGGAAAGGAGCUAAGGCUCCGCUGAAGGAAUGGCCUGCGGCCCAUUAGCUAGUUGGUGAGGUAAGAGCCCACCAAGGCGAUGAUGGGUAUCCGGCCUUAGAGGGUGAACGGACACAUUGGGACUGAGAUACGGCCCAGACUCCUACGGGAGGCAGCAGCUAAGAAUAUUCCGCAAUGGACGAAAGUCUGACGGAGCGACGCCGCGUGGAUGAAGAAGGCCGGAAGGUUGUAAAAUCCUUUUGAAACUGAAGAAUAAGCGUUGUAGGGAAUGACAGCGUGGUGACAGUCGGUUUUGAAUAAGCAACGGCUAAUUACGUGCCAGCCGCAGC